rnacentral:rRNA from 1 species
UACGGGGGGGGCAAGCGUUGUUCGGAAUUACUGGGCGUAAAGGGCUCGUAGGCGGCCAACUAAGUCGGAUGUGAAAUCCCCAGGCUCAACCUGGGAACUGCAUCCCGAUACUGGAUGGCUUGAGGUUUGGGAGAGGAUGCGGAAUUCCAGGUGUAGCGGUGAAAUGCGUAGAUAUCUGGAGGAACACCGGUGGCGAAGGCGGCAUCCUGGACCAACACUGACGCUGAGGAGCGAAAGCCAGGGGAGCAAACGGG